rnacentral:rRNA from 1 species
CCUACGGGAGGCAGCAGUGAGGAAUAUUGGUCAAUGGACGAGAGUCUGAACCAGCCAAGUAGCGUGAAGGAUGACUGCCCUAUGGGUUGUAAACUUCUUUUAUAUGGGAAUAAAAUGUUCCACGUGUGGGAUUUUGUAUGUACCAUAUGAAUAAGGAUCGGCUAACUCCUUGCCAGCAGCCGCGGUAAUACGGAGGAUCCGAGCGUUAUCCGGAUUUAUUGGGGUUAAAGGGAGCGUAGGUGGAUUGUUAAGUCAGUUGUGAAAGUUUGCGGCUCAACGGUAAAAUUGCAGUUGAACCUGGCAGUAUGGAGUAGAGUAUAGGUGGGCGGAAUUCG